CAAAACACUUGAAUAUCUUAAAAUAAUAAUGGUUUCAAAUUUCGGUACAAGGACAGCAAUUUCGGACAGAAGAGUGCUACACACGAGAGACUUUUGAUUAUUGUUGCUACCAGGUCGAGCUGUCUCGUAAAGGCAGCAUCAGCUCAACGGCAGGUUACCACUCACCGGUGAAUGUACCACUAAGAAAUGAAUAGGUUCGUAGUCUGAUCUGGUUAGGUUGAUCCCUGAUUCAUCCAUAGGCACAAGGCGAGCAAUUUAGUGAGAAACGAGUUGUAGUGGCGCAAAAUUAUGGCCGCCAUUAAGGAAGUACAAUCUACGCAUGCGCAAGGGACUUGCCUUCCCGUAAGCCCCACGAGUAUGCAUGCGUAGUAAAACUAGUACUUAAAGCGCUUCGCGCGCUUUCUAAGCCUCUUUAGCGCGAUGCCUUCGAUGUAACAACAACUUGCUCCUCUCAGAUGCCUCAACGAAACUUUUAACCUUCCAAUAAUAAAAACUUAUUUUUAUUAUGUU